rnacentral:lncRNA from 1 species
UUGAUCUAAUUUUUUGUUCUAAGUUGAAGCUUUAUGCUUCAUACCUGAGUAUUUAGAUCAAGUUCUUCCUAGCUUGGACACGUUGUUAUGGUCAACACGAAGUUCGUUGAACUUCGCAACGUUGCUGACUGAUUCCGUGCUCCCUCUAGCUUUGCUUGGUUGUUGUUCAAGACUUCUAAGCAUUCUCAAGUGUUGUUGAAUGAUGUUGAUUGCUAGGAUGCAUGCUCACAUAGGACUGGACGAGGCCUUAGUGACUUAAUAACAAUGAUAGACUAUGUUUAACUUGUUUGUUUAAAUUUCAAGACAAUGUAAGUGGUUAAUCUUUAAAUAAAACGAAAUU